rnacentral:rRNA from 1 species
UGGCGGACGGGUGAGUAACACGUAAGUAAUCUACCUUCGAGUGGGGAAUAACGUCCGGAAACGGACGCUAAUACCGCAUAAUGCAGCGGCAUCGCAAGAUGACAGUUGUUAAAGAUUUAUCGCUUGAAGAGGAGCUUGCGGCAGAUUAGCUAGUUGGUAAGGUAAUGGCUUACCAAGGCUACGAUCUGUAACCGGUCUAAGAGGACGGUCGGUCACACUGACACUGAAUAACGGGUCAGACUCCUACGGGAGGCAGCAGUCGGGAAUUUUGGGCAAUGGGCGAAAGCCUGACCCAGCAACGCCGCGUGAAGGAUGAAGUAUUUCGGUAUGUAAACUUCGAAAGAAUGGGAAGAAUCAAUGACGGUACCAUUUAUAAGGUCCGGCUAACUACGUGCCAGCAGCCGCGGUAAU